rnacentral:lncRNA from 1 species
CGGGAUUCUAAGAAAAUUCGAGGAAAUACUAACUUCCCAAGCAAGGAAAUGGAGGCUCCAUGAAGCAGAAGAACCUUCCAGUCCCGGCUUCCUCAGCCACAUUGUCACAGGCUGACUUGACUGUCAGGUGUCCCGGCCAUCAUCUGGUAAGUAUUAGUUAAUCACUAAUUAGAAAUGUCACAGUCAGAAGGAGGAGUGGGUAAUGGCUGGCACAAGUGCAGGGCGGUGGCUCAGCAAGGGUGUACAUCAAAUCCCAAGUGAACAAGGGCUGCCUGCCCUCUGAGUCAAUCCUGGAUCCAGUGGCCUGCCACUGUCCUACUCUCGGACAAGCAAGCACCUUUUCCUCUAGCCAAGCAUUCCUCUGUAAUCAAACAAGCUCAGUCAGUAUUUCUGGGGUCUGGAAGGCAGGGAAAACUGGAUUUCAAAGACUUUUCGAAUGAGAAAGUGAAAAUGGCCCCGGGCAAUGGCCCAAAGCUAUGCUUACAGGAUCUGAGCCCAGCUCACCUGGCACCCACCCAGGGACUUAGUUUUGGAGUCAGCACUCCACGUGGCUCCAAGCUGGACACUCCUUCCAUUCUUGACCCUAUGUUGCUGCUGACUUCACUGGUAAUAAGUUCAGGCAGCGCCACCUCAAGAUGCCCACUAUGCUGCCUCAGAAGCCAGGACUCAGAGAUAGACACACUUAUCUUAGUUCCAAAGCCUUUCUAAACUCAGAGCUACCACCCCUGCUGCUGCAGUCUCCCACUAACUGUGUACCUAGUCCAGUGGACCUUACAGUCUAAGGAAAGCUGGCAGGGCCUAGAUGCAAAACAAAAGCAUUAGUAGAGAUUCCUAUCUAGGAAAAUGACUAUGAACAAACUAGUCUACCUCUCUAAACUCCAAUUUCUUUAUGUGCUAAGCAGGGAUAAUAUUUUUUAAAAGAUAGAUAGAUAGAUAGAUUUAUUUAUUUAUUUAUUUAUUUAAAUGCCAAUACAACACCAGGGGUGGCAAAUAAUCCUGGUGCUCAAGAGACUGAGGUGGGAAGACUGCUGCUCAUUCAAGGCCAGCCUUGGAGACACAGUAUACAAGGCCAAAGCCAGCCUGAGCUCCAUAGCACAUGCUAGACCAAGGCCAGCCUGAACUACAAGGUAAGACUUGCUCUCAAAUAAAAACAAAUGCCAAGCACACAGUCUCCCAUGCUGGCGGCACUCCGAGUUUGUCUGUUUUAGGGAGUUUUAAUUUUGUUCAUUUGUUCAGGAGGGGUGUAUAGUACACCUUUCUGCCAGCUCAAUAUGAUAAAAAAAAAGCAAUAGUUUAAAAAGAUAAAAUGUUAAAGGGGGAGGUGUGGGGGGAGGCUGGAGAGUUGGCUCAGAGCUUAAGAUCAAUUGUUGCUCUUGAAGAGGACCCAGGUUCAAUUCCAAGCACCCACAUGACUUUGAGCCUAUGAGAGAAUGAUCCCAAACUGUCUGAGGUGAUUGAAAUCAGUUAACAAGUCAGACCGGUGACAGCAUGAAACAUGAUGGAAAGAGUCUUUUGGAAGUAAGUGGUUGACUUAAUAAACUUUUUAGACCAAACUUUUAGACCAAAGUAAAUGUUAUAAAUCUAAUCAAGUUCUAAAUUUUAAAUUUACUUUAUUCUCCCCACACUCUGUGUGUGUGUGUGUGUGUGUGUGUGUGUGUGUGUACAGAAGCUCAUGAUGUAAAACAGAGGUGUGGAGGUGUCAGAAGAUAAUGUGUGGGAGUUGGUUCUCUCCUUCCACCUUUAAGUGGAUGUUGAGGCUGUCAAGCAUGGGUGAUAAGACCUUUAGAUACUGAGCCACUUGCCAACCUUCAGGUCCUUUUGAGUGUAGAGAUAGUAAAUAUCUAUUAUUAGAAGCAUCAAAAGCAUGCAUCAAUGAAUUGAACCUUCGGCUCUUCCUUAAAUAUCUACAAAUAUAUUGCUCCUUUCAGUAGGCUGGAUAGAUAAAACUAGACAGCUGAUCCUUUCCAUAUUUAAACCUAUACUUAUCCAAAAGCUCACACUUCUCAGCUUUGAGGAUAAAUACAACUUCUUUCCUGAUUUUAUAAUUCUGUGGAAUUCAGUUGGU